AACUUUAUUUCCAUCACUUGCACAAACACAUAUCAUAAUUCACUUGGCUUUCAGUCACAUACACACACAAAGGCCCAUACCCAACACAUACACACACACACAUUCGGUCUUGCUUAAUCUGCUUUGCCCUAAUCUUCGCGCGCUCUUUGGUUGUGUCGGACUUUUCGCCUUCCUUGCUCCAAUCGCGCAUAGCCUGGCUGAGAAUUUUAGUACGGUGGGACAGUGCGGACAUUCUAUCGCUACCAGCAGCAUUGCAUUGGCAUUUGCUUGUUAGAAAUAAUCUAAAAACGGGAAGUUGCUAGUCACAAUGGGUGGAAGUCGGAAACGUUUUGGCAGAACUCCCUCAGCGGAGGACGACACAAACGAAUUGCUGGAACAGCUUGAGCGGAAUAAGAAUCAUAUAAUUAGAACUGAGGUCACAGUUCGUGGUCAAGUAACUCCCCCUAAUGCGUGCGAAAUGGAAUGUCGUUUAGGUAUUUUAAAUGGAUACAUCGAAAAGGCGUUCGAGUUGCAAGAAACAAUUAGGGGCAAUUAAUAAUGAAUUAGCAUGUAGAGAGGAGUUAGAAGAAUUAUGUGUAUCCGCAAAGGCAUUACUAAUGUCAAAUUGUAACCGGCCCGAAGGAGAAAGAAAUCAUUCUACCUUCGCAAAUAACAGUAGUUUAAAUUCUUCAGCAAGACACAGCAGAAUACUACCACAAAUGAAACUCCCAAAAUUCGACGGCAACUAUGCCGAGUUCAAAAAUUGUAUAGGUUUAUUUAACAGCUUAGUUCACGAUGUCGAAUCUCUAUCAAAUGUUGAAAAGUUUAAUCAUCUGUUAUCCUGUUUGGAGAAGAAAGCCUUAGGAACAGUAAAGGCUUACCAGGGCUUGGUCAGGGUUUAUGAUAAUCCGUGCCUAAUAUACUUUAAAAGUAUCUCUCGAUUGUUUAAAGUCCCAACAAUGCAACCGCCAUCCGCCUCGGCGUUGCGAUCCCUUAUCGACACUGUAACUGCUAUAUAUGAAUCUCUUCUCUCGCUCGACAACGACAAAACCCUCGCCAACGCAAUGAUAAUUCACAUCGUCAUGUCUAGAGUAGAUUCCAAAACGCGGUCGCGAUGGGAAGAGCAACUUACUUACGAUUCUAUUCCGUUAUGGAAAGAUUGCUCAGAGGCGCUUAAUAAACGAUACCAACACUUAGCGGCUGAGGAAUCUACGACAGGCAGAAAAGCUCCCAAACAGGGACAGCUAGGGAACAAGCCCAGAUAUAGCAAAGCGGCAUUAGCAAUUUCCCGACCUGUCGAAGAACUUAAGUCUAAAUGUUGCUUCUGCAAGUCAGACAGCCAUUUCAUUCAGAGUUGUACAUCUUACGCUAAUAUCUCGGUAGAAGCUCUGUUCAAGUUCGCAAAGAAUGCACCACUUUGCAUCAAUUGUCUACGCAGAGGACAUAGUGUCGCAACAUGCCAGUCAUCUCGUUGUCGAAUUUGUACGAAGGCUCAUCACACACUUCUGCAUCGGUAUACCUCAACCUAACAAGUACCGUCGGGCAAUCAAUUGUCGUCGUAUUCGACGCGUCAUGCAAAACCACUUCCCAAAUUUCAUUGAAUGAAAUUCUUUGGUAGGGCCAACAAUUCAGCGUUGCCUGUAUGCCACGCUGCUUAAAUUCCGGUUCCAUAAAUUUGCUAUGUCGGCAGACAUUACUAAAAUGUACAGACAAGUGGUAUUAGAUGAGGCCCAUAGAAAGUUCCAGUUAAUUGUAUGGCGUGAGACCCCGCAAGACCCUCUACAAAUUUAUCGGCUUAACACCGUUACGUAUGGUACGGCAAGUGCUCCCUUCCUUGCAAUACGGUGUUUGAAGCAGCUUAGCGAGAUCUACUCCGAUUCUCUUCCCUUAGCUUCACAGGCUCUAGCAAAUGAUUUUUACGUCGAUGACUUGUUAACAGGGGCCGAUUCCAUCCGUGAGUUAAGGAAAUUGCGAGGGGAAAUCACAGAGAUUUUAGAUUCCGCAGGGUUCGUCUUGGCUAAGUGGGCGUCGAAUUGUACCCCCAACGAACGACAGGUUGCCGAGUCAGAAGUCCUUAUUGGAGAAGACGCCGAUACGAAAACUUUGGGUCUCACUUGGAGUCCAAAACAGGAUACGUUCAAAUUCAACGCCCAGAAUCUACAGCUUGAAGACCCACCCACAAAGCGAUCCAUGCUUUCAUUUCAAAUCUAGGGUAGCACCGAUCAAUAGACUUAGUAUUCCACGACUAGAACUCUGUGCGGCUCACCUCUUAGCGAAGUUAUGGAGUGAUGUGCAAACGCUUAAUCUUUACCGCGUCGAGCAGGUUACUAUGUGGUCGGAUUAUGAAGUUGUUCUCUUUUGGCUGCGCACUCAUCUGUCAAAACUUAAAACAUUCGUCGCAAAUAGGGUUUCGGCUAUUCACGAACUGGCUCCAACUGCAGUCUGGCGACACGUCCCGACUAACUUCAAUCCAGCGGACCUACCCUCUCGAGGGACUACGGUUAAAGAUCUCGAUACGACGCUAUGGUUUGAAGGCCCUUCGUUUUUGUCCAUGGACUCGACUCAUUGGCCAGUUAAUCAGCACUUGGCUGACACGCCCCUCGAAAGCCAACUCGAAAUGAAACCGCCAGUAAUCGCCCAUACGGUUGCUGUUGUCUCAAAUCAUCCGCUGCUACAAGUAGUUGAAAAUUCUUCUUCCUAUGUGAAGGUUGUGAGAAUUACAACAUUUAUCUUUCGUUUUGUUUACGGCAGGGCCUGGAAAUUGUGGAACGACCACGUCCUAUCAGCCACCGAGCUUAGUUUUUCGUGCUCUUAUAUCGCGCAGGCUGUUCAGCGUGAAUCGUUUGCAGACGAAUUCAAUAAAUUAAAGAAAAAUUUUCCAUUACCCAGUUCUUAACAAAAACUUAGCCCAUUUAUCAGCAACGAAACUUUCGGAACCCGUACUUUAACAUUGGUGCGGGUGGGCGGUCGACUAGCGCACGCGGAUCUAGAACCCAGUGCCAAAUUCCCAAUAUUAAUGCCUAAAGGGAAUCGUUUUGUCAUAUUGUACAUCGAGCACCUGCACUAUGCUAAUUGCCAUGCAGGACCACGAGCCCUAGUCGGCCUGCUUCGGCAGACAAUUUGGUUGAUCAAUGCACGACGCGAGUGCAGUGCUGUUGUGCGCCGAUGCACGCACUGUUUCCGGUAUAAGCCACGGUUAAUGUCGCAAAUAAUGGGAAACCUGCCUCUUGACCGUGUCAGAAUCAGUCGACCCUUUAGAAUAAGCGGAGUCGAUCUCUUCGGUCCAAUCCGAGUGUCGCUAGGAGUGCGUGGCAAGGCAGCUUUAAAAAUAUUUGUUGGGCGGCGCGGCCCGCUUGAUCGACUGUACUGCGACAAUGCAACCAAUUUUGUUGGUUCCUCACGGCUGCUUCAGGAGAUGGCCUCUGAUGUCCGCAGCACACUGGGAACGUACGGCGUCCAUCACCAGGUUGAGUUCGUCUUCAUUCCGCCCCGGUCGCCUCAUUUCGGGGGCCUAUGGGAGGCCGCCGUCAAGUCCGCCAAACACCUCUUUUUGAGGGCCGUCGGAAACGCCUUGCUGAAGGAGGACGAAGUCUAGACGAUCCUGGUCGAAGUGGAAGCAGUGCUUAACUCGCGUCCGCAAGUAGCUGACAGCAGCAACCCUAACGAUGGAGAGGCUAUUACUCCAGCCCACUUUCUGGUAGGCACCACGCUCGCUGCUCUACCCCCAGGACCGGCACCUCCUUAUCCGGACGAAGACCUAACUCAUCUACAACGCUGGCAGCUUAUAUCAGCCAUCAAGCGACGGUUUUGGCGAGACUGGUCCCGUGACUACACAGCGGGGCUGCAGCAAAGAGUUAAGUGGACAAAGGAAUCGGCCAACCUUCUACCAGGAACCAUCGUCGUCAUCAAAGAGGACAAUUUACCGCCCCAGAAGUGGCUGCUCGGCAGAGUCCCCGAAGUAACGCACGGAUCGGAUGGCAAGGUGCGCGUUGCUCUAGUAAAAACCAAGCAAGGCGUAUAGAAACGAUCAGUACAUCAUCUGGCACCUCUUCCCAUUAAUUGAAGGCCUACAGCGCUUCAACGCAGGCGAUGUUUGGUCAUCUCACUGUUUGUUUUGUUUUCUAUGGUCGUUGCGAUGCCGACUAUCGAAAGCUGCGAGCAGGGGCGUAGCACAGCUGAUAAUCGCUAAUUAAUUACCCCCUACAAGUCGGCAAGCAACGAUCAUACAACAAAAUACUAGAUUAAAAGUAAUACUAGAUUACCAUAAAAUACUAACUCUAGAUACCAAUGUAAUAGGGAAGAUCUGAAACGAGGGAGUUGGUAACAUGGUUGAAUAGAAAAGCUCUUGAAAUAAACGCACAAUGGCAGAUUUUCAAUUCUGCGGCUAUAUAUAGUAGUUGUCUUCGCACGCUCUCUUGCGCGCUUCGCCACUACGUGUACUGCCGUCCACAGUGAUUAAAACUACAG